rnacentral:tRNA from 1 species
AUAAAUAUGCCGGAAUUGGUAGACGGGUGUUUAGGACCCAUUGAAUUUAUAUUCGUAUAGGUUCGAUCCUAUUAUUUAUA